rnacentral:rRNA from 1 species
ACGAAGAGUUUGAUCCUGGCUCAGGAUGAACGCUAGCGACAGGCUUAACACAUGCAAGUCGAGGGGCAGCACAGGUAGCAAUACCGGGUGGCGACCGGCGCACGGGUGAGUAACGCGUAUGCAACUUACCUAUCAGAGGGGGAUAACCCGGCGAAAGUCGGACUAAUACCGCAUGAAGCAGGGGCCCCGCAUGGGGAUAUUUGCUAAAGAUUCAUCGCUGAUAGAUAGGCAUGCGUUCCAUUAGGCAGUUGGCGGGGUAACGGCCCACCAAACCGACGAUGGAUAGGGGUUCUGAGAGGAAGGUCCCCCACAUUGGUACUGAGACACGGACCAAACUCCUACGGGAGGCAGCAGUGAGGAAUAUUGGUCAAUGGCCGAGAGGCUGAACCAGCCAAGUCGCGUGAGGGAUGAAGGUUCUAUGGAUCGUAAACCUCUUUUAUAAGGGAAUAAAGUGCGGGACGUGUCCCGUUUUGUAUGUACCUUAUGAAUAAGGAUCGGCUAACUCCGUGCCAGCAGCCGCGGUAAUACGGAGGAUCCGAGCGUUAUCCGGAUUUAUUGGGUUUAAAGGGUGCGUAGGCGGCCUUUUAAGUCAGCGGUGAAAGUCUGUGGCUCAACCAUAGAAUUGCCGUUGAAACUGGGGGGCUUGAGUAUGUUUGAGGCAGGCGGAAUGCGUGGUGUAGCGGUGAAAUGCAUAGAUAUCACGCAGAACCCCGAUUGCGAAGGCAGCCUGCCAAGCCAUGACUGACGCUGAUGCACGAAAGCGUGGGGAUCAAACAGGAUUAGAUACCCUGGUAGUCCACGCAGUAAACGAUGAUCACUAGCUGUUUGCGAUACACUGUAAGCGGCACAGCGAAAGCGUUAAGUGAUCCACCUGGGGAGUACGCCGGCAACGGUGAAACUCAAAGGAAUUGACGGGGGCCCGCACAAGCGGAGGAACAUGUGGUUUAAUUCGAUGAUACGCGAGGAACCUUACCCGGGUUUGAACGCAUUCGGACCGAGGUGGAAACACCUUUUCUAGCAAUAGCCGUUUGCGAGGUGCUGCAUGGUUGUCGUCAGCUCGUGCCGUGAGGUGUCGGCUUAAGUGCCAUAACGAGCGCAACCCUUGCCACUAGUUACUAACAGGUAAAGCUGAGGACUCUGGUGGGACUGCCAGCGUAAGCUGCGAGGAAGGCGGGGAUGACGUCAAAUCAGCACGGCCCUUACAUCCGGGGCGACACACGUGUUACAAUGGCGUGGACAAAGGGAAGCCACCUGGCGACAGGGAGCGAAUCCCCAAACCACGUCUCAGUUCGGAUCGGAGUCUGCAACCCGACUCCGUGAAGCUGGAUUCGCUAGUAAUCGCGCAUCAGCCAUGGCGCGGUGAAUACGUUCCCGGGCCUUGUACACACCGCCCGUCAAGCCAUGGGAGCCGGGGGUACCUGAAGUCCGUAACCGCGAGGAUCGGCCUAGGGUAAAACUGGUGACUGGGGCUAAGUCGUAACAAGGUAGCCGUACCGGAAGGUGCGGCUGGAACACCUCCUUU